UAGUAGUCAUACGCUCGUCUCAAAGAUUAAGCCAUGCAUGUGUAAGUGUAAAUAUCAAAGUUUGGAACUGCGAAUGGCUCAUUAUAUCAGUUAUAGUUUAUUUGGUGAAGUGUACUACUUGGAUAACCGUAGUAAUUUUAGGGCUAAUACAUGAGAAAGUCCUCUGGUGAGGUGUGUUUAUUAGAAUGAAAACCAUAUGCUUCGGCAUGAUAGUGAGUAAUAGUAACCUAUCGUAUCGCAUGCUUAAUGUAGCGAUGAGUCUUUCAAGUUUCUGCCCUAUCAGCUUUCGAUGGUAGUAUAUGGGCCUACCAUGGCAGUAACGGGUAACGAAUAA
rnacentral:rRNA from 1 species